ACUCGAUGAGAUUCCUCUCAUCUCCCAUUCACCUGAAACGAGAAGAAAAAUCAACAAAGCAACGGCUGCUGCUGCUGAUUCAGAUCGAGAAAUAUGCAAAGAUUAAAGAUAGAGAUUAAGAGUGAAUCAGAAAUUCUUAUGAUCCCGAUGAUAUUCGAUUAAAGAGUUAAUGGUCUUAUGGAUGAUGUUUCGAUCGGUGUUUGGUGAUUAAGGGUUUAAGAAGAAAUUUAAACUGAAGAGGGAAUUAGAGCUGAAAUUGAUAUGGGUUUGUCGAGAUAAGGGUUCUUUAGAGAAAUUCAGAAACUAGGGUUUAGUUUUGGGAAGAGCAGCUGGGACUGAUUCUUAUUUGUUUCCUAGCCCUAAUCUUCAAACUGCGUCAACAAAUCAAGAUGUGCAAGAGCAUCAUCCUUCUGAGAUUUUCUAUGGAUUUGGUUUUAGAAUCACUUAAAGAAGAUAGAGAUGUAUCUUAAGUGCUACAUCAAUGACAAUGGUUACACUAUCAAGGAUUGCUUCCUUUCCUUCUUCUAUGGACGAAAUUGAAGUUAGUUCUUAUAUGGGUAAUAAAAACCUUAAAAUGAUUCAGGGUUUCCUGCUUCAAGCUGUUUGUGCAGAAAGGGUGAUUUUUAACUCUUUGUUAGGGUGCAAAACAAGCAGGAAAUCAUGUCUCAUGGGACAUAGAAGAUCCACUGUAAAUGUUGAUAAUUUGAUUAUAUUUGGUUUGGCUGCAAAAAUAUCUAGAAAGUUGCUUCUGUAUUAUCAUAAUCGUAGUUAACUGAAAUCUUUAUAUUAUACUGCACAAAGAGGAUAUGAUUAGGAAGAGUAACACUAGAAUUACAGAUUAGUGGUUACCUCCCCUGGCCUAACCCGAUUCUGAUCAAUUACAGUUCAGCAAUGAUGGUGAAAAAACACUAGAGGAGUGCAAGCUGAGGGAUGUUUAUAAUACACCCACAGGUCAUGGUAACACCGACGAAGAAUCAGUUUCCUCAAGGAGCUUAAUUAAUUUAAAGGGAUGGACAUCAGCUCUGUAAAAUCUUCCACUUAGUUUCUUUUCCACAUGUGGAUUUACGAAUCAUGUGAUAGAUGUUCUUCCAAAAGGUAUUUUCAUAUUUUUAUUUUGUGAUAGAUCCAUGUGCACCGACUGAUGAACUUAGCUAUAUAUAUAGAUUCCCUUGCUAUGCCAUACAUUUUGUAUAUACUGACUCCACUUUCCACUAUGGCAUACAUUUUGUAUAUACUGACUCCACUUUCCACUAUGGAUCGUAUGUAGCAAUCAAAUUUUUUAUAUUCUUUUGCAUUGAUAAUUAGGCAAAAAACACUGAAAAAAGAUGACGAGAAGCAGCAGAAGGUGCCUUAACUGACAAUACUUCUCCAUUUUGCUUUUACGUUUAUCCUUAUAAGUUAUGCAACCCCAAAUUGAAGGAUAAUGGAUGAAAAAUCUAUCAUCUUAUUUUAUGUAACUGAAAUUAUAUAUAGUCCUCAAUUUUCUGUCUCCUCUAAGUAGCCUUUAAUGGCAUUUUUGUUAUUAAAAAAAUCAUUCACAUUAGAAAUUCCA